GCCCGCAUAGCUCAGCAGGUAGAGCGCAUCCAUGGUAAGGAUGAGGUCACCGGUUCGAUCCCGGUUGCGGGCUCCA
rnacentral:tRNA from 1 species